GGGAGCAGCCCAGAGUCAACAUCAAUAUUUACCGCAGGAGAAAGAUCUGGAAAGGCCGGCAAUAAAGGGUGAUAGCCCCGUAUCUGAAGCGGUAAGUGUUGUGAACUCGAAGAGUAAGGCGGGACACGUGUUAUCCUGUCUGAAUAUGGGGGACCAUCCUCCAAGGCUAAAUACUCCUGACUGACCGAUAGUGAACCAGUACCGUGAGGGAAAGGCGAAAAGAACCCCGGCGAGGGGAGUGAAAUAGAACCUGAAACCGUGUACGUACAAGCAGUAGGAGCACCCGAAAAGGUGUGACUGCGUACCUUUUGUAUAAUGGGUCAGCGACUUAUAUUCUGUAGCAAGGUUAACCGCAUAGGGGAGCCGUAGGGAAACCGAGUCUUAACUGGGCGUUAAGUUGCAGGGUAUAGACCCGAAACCCGGUGAUCUAGCCAUGGGCAGGUUGAAGGUUGGGUAACACUAACUGGAG
rnacentral:rRNA from 1 species